GAUGAACGCUGGCGGCGUGCCUAAUACAUGCAAGUCGAGCGAACGGACGAGAAGCUUGCUUCUCUGAUGUUAGCGGCGGACGGGUGAGUAACACGUGGAUAACCUACCUAUAAGACUGGGAUAACUUCGGGAAACCGUAGCUAAUACCGGAUAAUAUUUUGAACCGCAUGGUUCAAAAGUGAAAGACGGUCUUGCUGUCACUUAUAGAUGGAUCCGCGCUGCAUUAGCUAGUUGGUAAGGUAACGGCUUACCAAGGCAACGAUGCAUAGCCGACCUGAGAGGGUGAUCAGCCACACUGGAACUGAGACACGGUCCAGACUCCUACGGGAGGCAGCAGUAGGGAAUCUUCCGCAGUGGGCGAAAGCCUGACGGAGCAACGCCGCGUGAGUGAUGAAGGUCUUCGGAUCGUAAAACUCUGUUAUUAGGGAAGAACAUAUGUGUAAGUAACUGUGCACAUCUUGACGGUACCUAAUCAGAAAGCCACGGCUAACUACGUG
rnacentral:rRNA from 1 species